AUGAAAGGGGUUUUUUGGAAUUGUAGGGGAGUGGGUAAAAAAGGCAUGUCCACCUGCCUCAUUGACAUGAUAAGUGCCAAUGAAUUGGAUUUUAUUGGACUUCAGGAAACUAUGAAGAAGUCGUAUACUCCUGCUUUCUUUAGGCAAAUUGACCCUUAUCAAAAGUUUCAUUGGGAAUUGAUCCCUUCAAGGGGGAAAUCUGGUGGCAUUCUUUGUGGGCUUAACAAGGAAAAAUUUGAUAUCCUUACGACUAAGUGUGGUAAAUAUAUCCUGCAGCUGAACCUGUUCGAUAAGAACAAAAAUUGUAGCUGGGCCUUGAUGACUGUGUAUGGUGCUGCACAUGAUGAACAGAAGCCUGAAUUCAUUGCUGAACUGUCAUCUAUGUGUCACAACAGUAAUAUUCCUUAUCUAGUUGGGGGAGAUUUUAAUAUCAUUCGGCAUGGUGGGGAGAAGAACAAAAAAACAUCUAUGUCCCACUUCUCGGAGGUGUUUAAUUCUGUUAUUCAUCUACUUGGGUUGAGAGAGAUUUAUAUGACUGGUGGGUGUUACACCUGGUCAAAUAAACAAGAAAUCCCAACUUUGGAAAAGCUAGAUAGAGUUCUCAUGUCUCCUGAGUGGGAGGAUCUAUACCCUCUUGCUUCUGUACAUAAGAUGGUCAAGGAUAUAUCAGAUCACAACCCUUUGUUAGUGGAUGGUGGGAGUGCCUCCUCUAGAACACCAGGUAGAAGGUGUUUUAAAUUUGAUAAUGCUUGGCUCAGUAAUCCAGAAUUCUUCCCUCUGGUUUCUGAGAUCUGGUCGAGGCCUGUAUACACUUCAAACCCCAUUGACUCCUUGAAUAUUAAACUUAAGAGGAUUAAGAAGUUUUUUAAGGGCUGGGGAUCUAAUUUUUUUGGUCACAAUAAGAUCAGGAGAAAAAUUAUCAAGCUCGAGUUGCAGGAGCUUGAAAAACUGGAAGAGACUUAUGGUUUAUGUGGGGAUGCCUACACUAGGAAGUUGGAUAUUCUAGUGGAGCUUAAUAAGAUGUAUGUGGAAGAAGAACUACACUGGCAUCAAUUCUCUAAUGAGAGGUGGCUUCUGAAAGGAGACAAUAACACUGGUUUCUUCCAUAAAGUAGCCAAUGGCCGUCGUAGGAAAAACUCCAUGAUCUCCCUGGAGUGUGGGUCCACUAUUAUUGAGGGCACUAAAAACCUUCUGGUCCAUGCUACUGAAUACUAUAAAUCCUUAUUUGGUCCAGCUCCUGGCAAUUUAUGUCAGAUAGAUGCUGCUCUAUGGUCUCAGGAUGAGAUGAUUACUCCUGGUGACAAUGAGGAAUUAACUCGACCUUUUUCGUUAGAAGAAAUCAAGAAAGCUUUGUUUAGCAUGAAUUCUAACCGUGCCCCUGGUCCAGAUGAUAUUCCUGUAGAAUUCUAUCAACACUGCUGGGAGGUAGUAGCCCAAGACCUUCUAUGCUUAUUUGAUUGGUUUCAUGAUGGCAAGCUAGAUGUACAACGACUUAACUAUGGCAUCAUAACCUUGUUGCCUAAGUCAACUGAUGCUAGUAGGAUCCAACAAUAUAGACCCAUUUGUCUAUUGCGCUGCCCCUACAAACUACUUACAAAAGCCAUGGAUAUUAGAGCUAGCAAAUAUGCACACAAGCUGUUUAGUAUUCACCAGAAUGCUUUUAUUAAGGGGAGACACAUAGUGGAUGGAAUCCUAUCUCUCCAUGAAAUUUUGCAUUAUACUCAUUUCAGAAGGCAGGUGGGAGUGGUUUUGAAACUUGACUUUGAAAAAGCAUAUGACAAAGUCAAUUGGGACUUUUUGCUUGACUGUCAUAGGAAACGUGGGUUUAAUUCUAAGUGGUGUGGGUGGGUCUCGCAAAUACUGAAGAAUGGCACAGUUAGUGUCAAGAUCAAUGAUGAAGUGGGACCUUACAUCCAAAGUGCUAAGGGGGUGAGGCAGGGGGAUCCUCACUCCCCUUUCCUGUUUAAUAUUGCGGCUGACUGUCUGACCAAAAUGGUACUUACAGCACAAAAAAUGGCCUCAUUAAAGGUUUAG
rnacentral:rRNA from 1 species